AGAAAAGAGGUUGACUGCUCAAAGGGUAAUCUCAGUUUCUGAUCCCAGAAGGCAAAUGAAGUGUGUGGUCUGUUUGCAGUCUCUUUAGAAGCAGACUUUUCCCCCCAUGAAGGUUCUUUUGCAUGAUAUUCUUAGAAGCAGAAAAAUGGGCUGUGCCUGGUGGCUCACGCCUGUAAUCCCAGCACUUUGGGAGGCCAAGGCGGGUGGAUCACUUGAGGUCAGCAGCUCGAGACCAGCCUGACCAACCUGGUGAAACCCCGUCUCUACAAAAAAUACAAAAUUAGCCGGACGUGGUGGUGCACGCCUGUAAUCCCAGCUACUCGGGAGGCUGAGGCAGAAGAAUUGCUUGAACCUGAGAGGCGGAGGUUACAGUGAGCCGAGAUUGCGCCAUUGCACUCCAGCAUGGGCAAGAAGAG
rnacentral:lncRNA from 1 species